AUUUCCUAGUGGCGAACGGGUGAGUAACGCGUUGGUGAUCUGCCCCGAAGUGUGGAAUAACAGCCCGAAAGGGUUGCUAAUACCGCAUGUGGUCGUGAGGUUUAGAAACUCAUGUCUAAAGGAGAAAUCCGCUUUGGGAGGAGCCUGCGUCCCAUCAGCUAGUUGGUAGGGUAACGGCCUACCAAGGCGAUGACGGGUAGGGGGCCUGAGAGGGUGGCCCCCCACAAUGGUACUGAAACACGGACCAU
rnacentral:rRNA from 1 species